rnacentral:rRNA from 1 species
GACGAACGCUGGCGGCGUGGAUUAGGCAUGCAAGUCGAACGGUAUCAUCCUUUCGGGGGUGAGAGAGUGGCGAACUGGUGAGUAACACGUAGGUUAUCUACCCUCAAGACGGGGACAACCCAGGGAAACUUGGGCUAAUACCGGAUGUGAGCAACUUUUAGUUGUUUGAAAGGUGGCGUAAGCUGUCGCUUGGGGAUGAGCCUGCGUCCUAUUAGUUAGUUGGUGAGGUAACGGCUCACCUAGGCAAUGAUAGGUAGGCGGCCUUAACGGGUGGUCGCCCACACUGGGAUUGAGAUACGGCCCAGACUCCUACGGGAGGCAGCAGUCGAGAAUAGUCUACAAUGGUCGGAAGACUGAUAGUGCGACGCCGCGUGGACGAUGAAGGCCGGAAGGUUGUAAAGUCCUUUUCUCCGUGAAGAAUAAGGGUGCGAGGAAAUGCGCGCCUGAUGACGUUAUCGGAGGAAUAAGCCCCGGUAAUUACGUG